CCCGGACGAAAGCCGGGCUAAUACCGCAUAUGGCCUACGGGUCAAAGCAGCAAUGCGCCUUUAGAUGAGCCUGCGUCCCAUUAUUUAAUCCUAGUUGGCGGGGUAAUGGCCCACCAAGGGUACGAUGGGUAGCUGGUCUGAGAGGACGAUCAGCCACACUGGGACUGAGACACGGCCCAGACUCCUACGGGAGGCAGCAGUGGGGAAUAUUGCGCAAUGGGCGAAAGCCUGACGCAGCCAACCCGCGUGUGUGAUGAAGGCCUUCGGGUUGUAAAGCACUGUCGUGAGGGAAGAAGUUCUGACGGUACCUCACAAGAAAGCACCGGCUAACCCCGUGCCAGCAGCCGCGGUAAUACGGGGGGUGCAAGCGUUGCUCGGAAUCACUGGGCGUAAAGCGUCCGCAGGCGGGACGGUCAGUCGAAUGUGAAAGCCCGGGGCUCAACCCCGGAACUGCGUUCGAUACUGCCGUCCUCGAGUUCGGGAGAGGGGAGCGGAAUUCCUGGUGUAGAGGUGAAAUUCGUAGAUAUCAGGAG
rnacentral:rRNA from 1 species